rnacentral:rRNA from 1 species
UACGGAGGGUGCAAGCGUUGUUCGGAUUUACUGGGCGUAAAGCGCGCGCAGGUGGGGUGAACAAGUCGGAAGUGAAAUCUUGAGGCUCAACCUCGAGGCUGCUCCCGAAACUGUUCGCCUAGGGACUGGUAGAGGCUGGUAGAAUUCCCGGUGUAGCGGUGGAAUGCGUAGAGAUCGGGGAAGAAUACCUGUCGGCGAAGGCGGAGCCAGGCCUGGGCCAGAGGUCCCGACAUCCAUGAGGCGCGGA